GAUGGACGCUGGCGGCGUGCUUAACACAUGCCAGUCGAACGGUGAAGGCGGAGCUUGCUCUGCUGGAUCAGUGGCGAACGGGUGAGUAACACGUGAGCAAUCUGCCCCUGACUCUGGGAUAAGCGCUGGAAACGGCGUCUAAUACUGGAUACGAGCUGCGAAGGCAUCUUCAGCAGCUGGAAAGAACUUCGGUCAGGGAUGAGCUCGCGGCCUAUCAGCUUGUUGGUGAGGUAACGGCUCACCAAGGCGUCGACGGGUAGCCGGCCUGAGAGGGUGACCGGCCACACUGGGACUGAGACACGGCCCAGACUCCUACGGGAGGCAGCAGUGGGGAAUAUUGCACAAUGGGCGAAAGCCUGAUGCAGCAACGCCGCGUGAGGGACGACGGCCUUCGGGUUGUAAACCUCUUUUAGCAGGGAAGAAGCGAAAGUGACGGUACCUGCAGAAAAAGCGCCGGCUAACUACGUG
rnacentral:rRNA from 1 species